rnacentral:rRNA from 1 species
GCCUGCAGCCAUACCUCCUUGGCAGUGAUCCCAUCAGAUUUUACAAGCCAGGCAGGGUCGGGGCUGGUGAAAAUAUGAAUGGGAAUGCCCAGAGCAACAAAAGCAGCAGGCA